ACACCUGUCUAAGGAUCAGAACCUCUCUUCUCUCUCUUUCUUUCAUUUUUUUUUUUUCUUCUUCUUCUCUCUCUAGACUAAAUCAAGGUUGAGGAGUUUGAAGUGGCAGUUUGGGGGAUUUGAAGGCUGAGGUUGUGAGACCUGAUUCAAGCAGGGAGUUAAUUGGAGAAGCUUCAAAAAUUAAAGUAAGUUAAAUCCUUACCUGAUUUAUAUUGAAGCUAGCUACUUAGAGAAGAGUUAAAGGAAGAACUCUUGCUGUCAGGAUUUGAGAGCUGAUUAGGAUUGGCCGACUUGGUGUCUUCGGCUUGGUGGAGUAGCCGAGCUGAGAGAGGAUGCUAGUGGAGUUGAUGUAACCUGGCAUAAUACUUAAUUAAGAUUUGGGAGCUGAAGUUAAGUUGGUGUGUUCUUGGUGCUGCCGAAAUGCAAGGGUGGAUUAUUUGAUGCAGUGAGCAAGCUAAGUUAGCAUCAAAUUAAGAUUUGAGAAGUAUGGUCGGAUUGAGUGUUUAAACAAGAAAUCAGCAGAGAAGAGGACUUGGGUUCAGUUUCGGCAUAUUGGCUGCUGAAAAUUUAGAUUUGGAGCUACCAAGUGGAAGCUUCAGCUGAGAGCAAACCUAUUGAAGGCUUUUGAUUGAGGUCGACGACGCGCUAAUUACGGUAGAGGCCGUUCUAGCUCUAUUUGCACUGAGUCGCGAGAGCUUGUUGUCGACACACUUCGAGACGUGAGAUCCUAGUGUUUGACACCACUACAGGUGGGUGGUGCUAUCCGAAGUCUUUGAAUC